GUUCGUCUGAAGAGUCCCAAACUAGGCGGACGAAACAGCUGUCAAAGAC
rnacentral:hammerhead_ribozyme from 1 species